GAAGACUGCUUCUUUGCCCGCGUGCAGCGUUUCGCAGGCAAGCGAGUGAAUCCUUCUUUCCGCGCAUAGUGGAUCGCAGAGAAUUCCUAUUGCAGCUCCUUUUUUGUGCGUGCUGCACUGAAAUGAGAAUAAUGAUCAGUAUUUUUACGAGCAUUCUUUUGACAAAAGGGUUAUGUCAAAAACUCGAUAAAACGUCGAACUGGAAUAAGGAAUUUUUUUAAAUUAAUUUUAUGACUGAGGCGAAAUUUUUCGUAAAUCGAAUUUCGCCAGUAAGUUCUUUAAAAUAUUAUUUAUUACAUAUUUAUUUUUUGCAUUAUAUUCACUGAUAGUUCGUCAUCCCGUUUAGCAUAUAAAUAUAAUAAUUUAAUAUAAACAGGAUAGCAAGAACACGCAUAAACUGCUUUCUUUAAAGCAAUAUAAUUUUACUUUCUCUUGUUUCGAAACGUUUGUGCUUUAUAUAUGCUAUAUAUAUAAUAUUUUUUUCUUAUAUUAUAAAUAUAUUGAUAUUUUAAAAUAAAUAAUAAUAAAAUGUAAUAAUAAUCUAUUGCUUUAGAAAAUUCGUUUAUACAAAAGAAAAUCAUAAAUAUGUAUCGUUUCUUUGUGCAA